GUCUAAAGUUUAAUGAUAACAGUACAGGUAUCCCUUCCACAUUGUGACUUUCUCCAUCACAGUUUUGAUAUAUUGCAGCUUCUCAAGAUGGAGAGACCCUCUCACUGCUCUCCAAGACAGAGUCUCCUCCUCCUCUGGAAUCCACUCCUGGGGCCCCUCCCUCAUCAAGCAGGAAGAAGGGGGCUGACUCAUUAUCUGAAGAAAUGGAAAGGUUUGUUUGAAAUGGGAGCCAAUGGUGAAUGCAGAAACUGUUUUACUGCUUUUAUAGGACUCCACAGAAUUAGCCCUGAUAAAAUAUUUACCAGGGAAAAAAGUGAGUUAAAUAUAUGGAUUAAAGCUAUUAAAUGGCUCAUAAUAGCCAUUUUUAUAUUGGAUUAAUUGGAAUAAUUGGAUUAAUCAAACAGCAUCUAUCUGUGCACUUUGGUGAUAAAUACUAUAAAUAUAAUGAUAUAAUAUUAGAGAAAAAGUAUAAACAGGGGAAAUUCCAAUAGCAAAGUUGCAUGUCUCAACUUUGAUAAAAAGCUGAGAUUGCUUUGAUUGAACUGGGUUAUUCAUCAUGAUUCGGAUUUUUAAAGUAGUUUGCACUGGGGUUUCUGAGGGGUCAUUUUUAUUAGGAGACUGCCUAAUAGGAUUAAAGCAACAAUUCCUAAGUCUUCCUACCCUCUUUAAACAUUGCUCUCCUCCCUCUCUCCCAGCCCAGGACUCUAAUAGUAUACUUUAAAAUUUCAAGUAACAAUUCACUAUUUGGAACUUUUGGUACUGCCUCUGCAGCCAGAGAGAAGGGGGGGAGAGAGGGCCCAAUCUCACUGGCUUACUAUUUGGGAACUUUCUGAGAGCUGCAAUACUUUGCUUUAUGCUCAGAAUAUGGGGGUUGUUAGAGCUGAGGCCAUAAGUGUCUAAGAAAGUGUCCCACCCACACAGUCGUCCUUGGGGAAUAAGCCUGCUCAGUUUUCUAUUUCAUGAAUGUUAUAGCUGAAUGGGGCUUUAGGAGAAUAUUGAGUCCACUGAGAUUCUUUCCCCACUGUCAUGUAUCAGGUACCUUGGAAUCUCAUCUCUUCUGGCUUUCCACUAUCAGAGAAGCUAGUGGUUAAAGGAAGCUUUUUAAAAAAAUGUUUUUUAAGCCUAUGGAGGUUGGGCCACAUUUGAAAAGCAAUGGGAGGACAGGUGUUCAGAGAGCUUCUCAUCCCAGAGCUUAGCAACAAGAAUGAAACCUUUCUCUACUGGGUACAACUUAAUUUGCAGAUUUAACAAGCUGCCUAUGCCUACCUUCCAACCUUAUUUGACAUCAAUGCCCCUCAAAAUUAGGAGGGAGCACCAAUUAUUUUCUGGCAUGGCAGCAAUACAUCUUGGGUCUCAAUUUCUACCUGCAUUACCUCCU
rnacentral:lncRNA from 1 species